rnacentral:rRNA from 1 species
UACGAAGGGGGCUAGCGUUGCUCGGAAUCACUGGGCGUAAAGCGCACGUAGGCGGCUUUCUAAGUCAGGGGUGAAAUCCCGGAGCUCAACUCCGGAACUGCCUUUGAUACUGGAAAGCUUGAGUUCGGAGAGGUGAGUGGAACUGCGAGUGUAGAGGUGAAAUUCGUAGAUAUUCGCAAGAACACCAGUGGCGAAGGCGGCUCACUGGCCCGAUACUGACGCUGAGGUGCGAAAGCGUGGGGAGCAAACAGG